GGGGUAACGGCCCACCAAGCCUUCGAUCAGUAACUGGUGUGAGAGCACGACCAGUCACACGGGCACUGAGACACGGGCCCGACUCCUACGGGAGGCAGCAGUAAGGAAUAUUGGUCAAUGGACGGAAGUCUGAACCAGCCAUGCCGCGUGAAGGAUGAAGGCCCUCUGGGUUGUAAACUUCUUUUAUCUGGGACGAAAAAAGGGCUUUUUAGCUCACUUGACGGUACCAGAGGAAUAAGCACCGGCUAACUCCGUGCCAGCAGCCG
rnacentral:rRNA from 1 species